UCCGGUUGAUCCCGCCGGACCUGACUGCUAUCGGAUUGAUACUAAGCCAUGCGAGUCAUUGUAGCAAUACAAGGCAUACGGCUCAGUAACGCGUAGUCAACCUAACCUAUGGACGGGAAUAACCUCGGGAAACUGAGAAUAAUGCCCGAUAGAACAUUAUGCCUGGAAUGGUUUAUGUUCCAAAUGAUUUAUCGCCGUAGGAUGGGACUGCGGCCUAUCAGUUUGUUGGUGAGGUAAUGGCCCACCAAGACUAUUACAGGUACGGGCUCUGAGAGGAGUAGCCCGGAGAUGGGUACUGAGACACGGACCCAGGCCCUAUGGGGCGCAGCAGGCGAGAAAACUUUGCAAUGUGCGAAAGCACGACAAGGUUAAUCCGAGUGGUUUCUGCUAAAGAAACCUUUUGUCAGUCCUAGAAACACUGAUGAAUAAGGGGUGGGCAAGUUCUGGUGUCAGCCGCCGCGGUAAAACCAGCACCUCAAGUGGUCAGGAUGAUUAUUGGGGCCUAAAGCAUCCGUAGCCGGCUCUGUAAGUUUUCGGUUAAAUCUGUACGCUCAACGUACAG
rnacentral:rRNA from 1 species